rnacentral:lncRNA from 1 species
AGUGUUAGUGAAACAAUGGCAUUGUAUUGUUUUUUUUUUUUUUUUUUGAGAGAGAGAGAGAGAUAGGUAGCACGCUACCACUUUAUUUAUUUUAUUUAGAAAUAAACUUAGCUGAAAAUGUGAAUCAAUUAAAAUUCGAAUUUGAGAUCUCGAGUAUCAACCAUAAAAUCCUUUGCCACUUGCUCUAAGGACGGUCAAUAAUGACAUUGUAUUGUUAAGGUUAAUUUUGAGUCUAUUUUCUAUCAGAUUGAUUUAUGUUAUUUCUGUCGUUCCUAAAGCCUCCUCCCUUUUAAAAAGUUUUGAGG